rnacentral:rRNA from 1 species
AUCGAACGCUGGCGGCAGGCCUAACACAUGCAAGUCGAACGAGUGGCGGACGGGUGAGUAAUGUCCGUGAAACUGCCCGACGGAGGGGGAUAACUACUGGAAACAGUAGCUAAUACCGCAUACCAUCGGAUGUGCCCAGAUGGGAUUAGCCAGUAGGUGUGGUAACGGCUCACCUAGGCGACGGUCCCUAGCUGGUCUGAGAGGAGGACCAGCGACACAGGAGCUGAGAAACGGUCCAGACUCCGAGGUGAGGCAGCAGUGGGGACUAUUGGACAAUGGGCGCAAGCCUGAUGCAGCCAUGCCACGUGUAUGAAGAAGGCCUUCGGGUUGUAAAGUACUUUCAGCGAGGAGGCGUUGCUCGCAGAAGAAGCACCGGCUAACUCCGUGCCAGCAGCCGGGGUAUUC